rnacentral:tRNA from 1 species
GGAUGGAUGCCCGAGUGGCCAAAGGGGACGGGCUGUAAACCCGUUGACGUUAGUCUUCGAAGGUUCGAAUCCUUCUCCAUCCACCA